rnacentral:rRNA from 1 species
AUGGCAAAUUUCUGGUGGAGCGGUUCCCUUGAUAGACGAUCUUUGCACUGGAUAUCAUGGGACAGUCUCGCAUCCCCAAAGGUUAACGGUCGUAUGGGCUUCUGAGAUCUACCAUUGUUUAAUUUGGCACUGCUAGGGAAGCAUGGGUGGAGGUUCAUUACAAAUCCGGGAUCCCUGUGCAGCCGUGUUAUGAAGGGUCGCUAUUUUCCUGAUGGAGAGUUCAUGGAUGCAGUUGUACCGCGCUCAUCGUCGGCUGUAUGGCGGGCCAUUAUUGCUGGUCGUGAAGCUCUCCAGGAAGGACUUGUGAAGCGUGUGGGGACGGGCUCUACCAUCUCCAUAUGGGCAGACAAAUGGAUUCCGGGAUUGUCAACUCUUCAACCGACAGUCAUACCAGGGGGCACUACAUUGUCCUGGGUAAGUGAACUUAUAAAUGAAGAGAACUGGACAUGGAAAAGGGAUUUGAUCCGGGAUGUGUUUAUCCCCCCGUAA